CAAAAUUAUUUAAUAUUUAUUUGUUAGAUCUAAAAACAACUUGAUUUGGAAGAAUAUUUCUUUGCUAACAUUGUAUACAUAUAAAAAAUUGACUCUUCGGUUCAUAAUUUCAUCCUUUUUUUUUUAAAUAUUCUAGAACCAAACUGAAUAUUAUGAUAAACGUUUUUUUCUUAUUUUAAACAGGAUCACACAUAGUUAACAUGAAACAAUGAUUCUACUUUACGUCGUUAGCCAUAGGCACUUUAAGAAUCAACAGAUAUUCAUGAAAGACCAAUAUCUGUGGAAUAAUAGUUGAAUAACCAGAUAAUCUUGAGUAAAGUUCAAGUUGAAUGUAGCCAGAGUUCCACCUUCUCCCUUGCUUAUCUGGGUUACAGUAGAUGUCAUCUUAAUUAAACAAGACAUUUCUUCCACAAACGUAGACUGCCCACAUAUACCCAUACCUCAAUACACCAUGUCAGAAUUGCGGCUAAUCCCAACCAUUACUAUAGAGGGAUAUCAGCAUGUGUAGGAUACAGGCACUUAGACUAUUCUGAAGCUAUCUGCAAAGAACUACUUUGAAUUCGUACCUAUUUUCUUGAGUUUCUCCUUAGAAACUAAUGUAUUAUAAAGAGAGGAA